UACGAAGGGGGCUAGCGUUGCUCGGAAUCACUGGGCGUAAAGCGCACGUAGGCGGCUUUCUAAGUCAGGGGUGAAAUCCUGGAGCUCAACUCCAGAACUGCCUUUGAUACUGGGAAGCUCGAGUCCGGAAGAGGUGAGUGGAACUCCGAGUGUAGAGGUGAAAUUCGUAGAUAUUCGGAGGAACACCAGUGGCGAAGGCGGCUCACUGGUCCGGUACUGACGCUGAGGUGCGAAAGCGUGGGGAGCAAACAGG
rnacentral:rRNA from 1 species